CUUAUCAAGAGUGGCGGAGGGAACGGCCCGAUGAAGCCCGGCAACCUGCGAUCUGCAAGGUGCCAAAUCCGGCGGUAGUGUAUCGAAAGAUGAGG
rnacentral:ncRNA from 2 species